rnacentral:tRNA from 1 species
GCCAGUAUGGUAUAGUGGUUUGAAUGUUGGACUACGACUCUUGAGACCAGGGUUCGAUUCCCAGCUCAGCCA